AACGAACUUCAGGGCAGGGUGAAAUUCCCGAUCGGCGGUAAAGUCCGCAAGCCUUGUGCAACGUUUCUGAACCUACAGUUUUGAACGCUGCAUCGGGCAGACCCGGUGAGAUUCCGGGACCGACAGUAUAGUCUGGAUGGAAGAAGAAUCGUU
rnacentral:ncRNA from 2 species